GCAGCAGUAGUUGACGUGUCAUGAGAAUACUGGUUAUCCUUAUGCCCACCUGGCAGCUUCUCCUUUGUCUUGUCCAUCAUACCCUUCUCCUGGUGGCGCUCUCCUUCUCCAUCCUUGCUGCCACCAAAUGGCAGCUUAUCCUUUAUCUUGUCCAUUACACCCUUCUCCUGGUGGUGCUCGCCUUCUCCUGCAUAGGUGGUCCCACCGCCGUACUGUGCACCGGUGGUCGGCUUUGCAUGCAAGUACUGGUCAUCCUUGCUAGCACCGCCUGGCAGCUUCUCCUUUACCUUGUCCGUCACACCCUUUUUCUGGUGGUGCUCUCCUUCUCCUGCAUAGGUGGUCCCACCGCCGUAAUGUGCACCGGUGGUCGGCUUUGCAUGCGAGUACUGGUCAUCCUUGCUAGCACCGCCUGGCAGCUGCUCCUUCACCUUGUCCAUCACACCCUUCUUCUGGUCGCGCUCUCCUUCUCCUGCAUAGGUGGUCCCACCACCAUAAGGUGUAGCGGUCUGCGUUCCAUGAGAGUACUGGUCAUCCUUGUUACCACCACCUGGCAGCUUCUCCUUUACCUUGUCCAUCACACCCCUUUUCUGGUGGUGCUCUCCUUCACCUGUGUAGGUCGUCCCACCGCCGUAAGGUGUAGUGGUCUGCGUUCCAUGAGUGUACUGGUCAUCUUUGUUACCACCACCUGGUAGCUUCUCCUUUAUCUUUU
rnacentral:lncRNA from 1 species